rnacentral:rRNA from 1 species
GUUAAUCUUUUAUUUUUUUUUAAAAAAUAAAAAAAAAAUUUUUUUAUUAGUACUUAGAAAGAACUCAUUAAUUUAUGAACCGAGAGGGUAAUUUAAAUAAAAAGAAAGUAAAAAUUUGUACCUUUUGCAUCAUGGUGUGUUGAAUAAAUUUUCUAUAUAAAAUUCCCGAAUUAAGAAGAUCUAGGUAAUAAUGAAAGUUUUUGUUGUAAAACAAUUUUACAUUGUUAUCUAGAAGUUAAAAAUCAUAUCGUUUCUUAAGUUAUCUGGUUCUUCUGGUAGUAGAUUAAAUCUAGAAAAUUUUACUUUUAUUAAAAAUUUUUUAAUAAAAAUUAAUUUUUAAAUUCUUAGGAGUUAAGUUCUGAGAAAAUUUGAAUAAAAUAAAAAUAAAUAUUUUGUUUAAAAAACUGAAUUUUUAUUUUAUCAAAAUAAUACAGAAGAUUAAAAAAUAAUUUUUUAAUUUUAAAAACUAUAAUUCAAUGAGUAUUUUUAACAUUAAAAAUAGGAACUCGGCAAAAAUUUUCUUGUCUGUUUAACAAAAACAUAGCCUUUUUAUUUAAUUUAAGGUAAGGCCUGCUCACUGAAAUUUUUAAAGAGCCGCAGUAUUUUGACUGUGCAAAGGUAGCAUAAUAAAUAGCAUUUUAAUUGGGUGCUGGAAUGAAAGGUUAAACAAAGAAAAAACUUUCUUUUUUUAAAGUUAAGAAAUUAAAUUUUAAGUGAAAAUGCUUAAAUACUAAUGAAAGACGAAAAGACCCUGUAGAUCUUUACUAUAAGUAAAAAAUAUUUUUUUAUAUAGUUUAGUUGGGGCAAUUAAAAAAUAAGAAAAACUUUUUUUUAUAUUUAACCCUAAUAAAGGGUUUAAUGACCUUAAAGAAAAAUCAUAAGAAAAGUUACCUCAGGGAUAACAGCACACUAAAGAAAUAAGAGCUCUGAUUUUAUUUUGUGUUUGUGACCUCGAUGUUGAAUUAAGGUUACCUAAAAAAGAAAAAGUUUUUAAGGUUAGUCUGUUCGACUAUUAAAAUCUUACAUGAUUUGAGUUCAGACCGACGCAAGUCAGGUCAGUUUCUAUCUUCAUUUUAAAUGUUGGUGUAUCAGUACGAAAGGACCGUAUUACUAAAUCUCGUAAAACUAAAUUUUUUUUAUUAAAAUUUCCCUAUACAAAAGGAUAGGGGUUAAUAAACCUAGAAUAG